CGCGUGGGUAACCUGCCUCAUACAGGGGAAUAGCAGCUGGAAACGGCUGAUGAAACCGCAUAAGCGCACAGUGCCGCAUGGCACAGUGUGAAAAACUCCGGUGGUAUGAGAUGGACCCGCGUCUGAUUAGCUGGUUGGCGGGGUAACGGCCCACCAAGGCGACGAUCAGUAGCCGGCCUGAGAGGGUGAUCGGCCACAUUGGGACUGAGACACGGCCCAA
rnacentral:rRNA from 1 species